CCGUAGGCAAGUUUACGUAUACAUCGCUUCCGCUAAGAAAUUCUGAAAGUGCCUUUUCUUAUUGCGGAUUACGUUUUGGAACCCCAAAUGUCGAGCAUACACCAGAAACGGCUUUAAGUCUUGUUGCGUUAGCUCGCGAUUUUCUUCCGCCAUCUUGAACGCGCGAAUUUGGCAAUAAAAUUAUUCUGAAUUAUUCGAGUCGGGCGAAUAAAUUAGCACGGCAACCAAUCAGAAACACUACCAGGUUUUUGAGUAGUGACGUCACCGGACAGCAUUAUCGGCCAGUACUUUCAGACGUCUCUCUCCCUGAGUGACGAGGAGGUUGGACACGCGCCGAACUGCCUUAUGGUAGAGGUAAUUAACCAAUCAGGAGCGUCUAUAUUCUUGCAAGUCGAUUUGGAGGGAAUCGUCGCUCGAGGGAGGAAGAGGAUUUCUUGAGGUGUUUUCUCGGCAUUAACGAGUUAAGUGAUCCAGUUGCUUAACGAAAAAGAAAGAGAUCAGAGUUUACACAACUGAUUUCCUUGUGGAUAUUAAUAACUGGUGUUUUAACCAGGAGCUGUGGAAUGAAAAGAGAUAGUCCAUCUUCAAUGUCUCUACUAUGUUGUAGCUUUGUGUAUGCUUGAUGAGUUUUCCUUUCUGAGGAGAAAAGUUCUAGUAUCAAUGAUUUACUUUCAUGUUUUGGAAACCUGUUCUCCAAAAUGUUAUAAUUUUAGCAUAUGAUUGUUUAAUGAUGCAUUUCUUGACUACCAGUUUUAGACUGUAAUAUAAUGUUGAUAAUAAAAUAAUUUCAAUUAAAGAUA